GGUAUACCUCUAGUUUGGAGCUGUGCUGUAAAAACAAGAGUAACAUUUUUAUAUUAAAGUUAAAUAAAGUUACAACUUUGAAGAGAGGUUCUGCAAGACAUGACACAAAGCUGCUAGCAGAAAAUCAAAACACUGAUUAAAAGAAGCAAGUUAAGCUACCUCGAGAUUCUCAGAGUUUAUGCCCAUAUGAUUGGAUUGGUUUCCAAAACAAAUGCUAUUAUUUCUCUAAAGAAGAAGGAGAUUGGAAUUCAAGUAAAUACAACUGUUCCACUCAACAUGCUGACCUAACUAUAAUUGACAACAUAGAAGAAAUGGUAAGUAAUUUAAUAUACAUUCUUUGUGAAUUUUCUUGAGUCGGAGCAUUAGAAAUAUUCAAAUACCAUUAUAAUCUUGAAGUCUUUUCACUCAUGCCUAUCUAUGCAGAAAAUUGAAGAUGUUCAGAAUAUGCCAUGUGACAUAAAGGUGAAACACCUAGUGAUGCUUUGUUUGAAGAAUGUAAGACUAACAUCAAGUAGUAGACUUAAUACCUAUCUUUAUAUUUUAAAGAGUGUACACAGAAGAGCUUGAUAAUGUUUGAAAACGUUUUAAGAGCCAGUACUCCACCAAGAAAGGAGAAUUGUCUGAGGAAGGAGGGGAUUCUGCAUUCUACUUCCUGAGAGAAACUUUGCUCUGACUUCUCCAUUUUGUUUUGCUGUCUGUCUCUGAGGUCCCGUGGCAGCUUCCAUUAGAACACUCUCUACCAGUAAUGCAAUAGAGAGGAAAAUCAAAAUUUCCUUCUAGACCAGAGUAUAAGUUUUCAGCGAGCAGAUACCAUGUCUUCUGUGAAAUUUUAUCCUUAGCAUUAUGCACAAAGCAGGUAC
rnacentral:sRNA from 1 species